rnacentral:snoRNA from 1 species
CUGGCACCCAAAUCUAAGAAUUACAGUUCUCCUAACAGUGAUUUACACAGUGGUAUGAAGAACAAGCGAAUUUCGUUGCCUUUAGGAGGCUGUGCCAUGCCCAUCAGAGUGAAUAUGGAGGUUCUGCAGCC